rnacentral:rRNA from 1 species
GUAGUCUCGCACAGAUGCAUAUCAAUAAGCGGAGGAAAAGAAACUAACAAGGAUUCCCUUAGUAACGGCGAGUGAAGCGGGAAGAGCUCAAAUUUGAAAUCUUCAAGGUUUUACCUUGACGAAUUGUAGUUUAAAGAAGUGUUUUCUGUUGAAGUUUUGGUAAAAGUUCUUUGGAAUAGGACAUCAUAGAGGGUGAGAAUCCCGUAUUUGACCAUUAUUUUCAGCUGUGUGAUACACUUUCAAAGAGUCGGAUUGUUUGGGAAUGCAGUCCAAAAUGGGUGGUAAAUUUCAUCUAAAGCUAAAUAUUGGCGAGAGACCGAUAGCGAACAAGUACCGUGAGGGAAAGAUGAAAAGAACUUUGAAAAGAGAGUUAAACAGUACGUGAAAUUGUCAAAAGGGAAGCGUUUGACACCAGUGUUGUUUUCUCGAAAAUCAAUUAAAAAGAGUUAGAUUUUGUUGUGUAUUGACCUUAACAGCUUGCAUUUCAAUUUUCUUGCUUUUUUUAAUGCACUUUUCGUUUAACAAGUCAACAUCAGUUUCUUUUGUUGUAAAAAGGUCAUUGGAAGGUGGCUUUCUUUUCGGAGAAAGUGUUUAUAGCCUUUGACUCCUGCAAUCGGAGAGACUGAGGUCUGCAGCGUAGAUCCUUCGGGGUUAGAUACAUUUGUGCUAAGUUAUAGCUUUUUAUAGACAACUUGUUGACUAUGAUUAGUCUUGUAGCUUACUCGCUUAUGCUAUUUUACCUACGCUUAGGAUGUUGAGCGCAUGUCUCUCUCU